rnacentral:rRNA from 1 species
AAAGGUUGACCUCGGAUCAGGUAGGAAUACCCGCUGAACUUAAGCAUAUCAAUAAGCGGAGGAAAAGAAACCAACAGGGAUUGCCCUAGUAACGGCGAGUGAAGCGGCAACAGCUCAAAUUUGAAAUCUGGCCCUCGGGUCCGAGUUGUAAUUUGUAGAGGAUGCUUUUGGCGCGGUGCCUUCCGAGUUCCCUGGAACGGGACGCCUUAGAGGGUGAGAGCCCCGUACGGUUGGACACCAAGCCUCUGUAAAGCUCCUUCGACGAGUCGAGUAGUUUGGGAAUGCUGCUCUAAAUGGGAGGUAAAUUUCUUCUAAAGCUAAAUAUUGGCCAGAGACCGAUAGCGCACAAGUAGAGUGAUCGAAAGAUGAAAAGCACUUUGAAAAGAGGGUUAAAUAGCACGUGAAAUUGUUGAAAGGGAAGCGUUUGCGACCAGACCUUUUCCUAGCGGAUCAUCCGGUGUUCUUCACCGGUGCACUUCGCUAGGUUGAGGCCAGCAUCGGUUUUCGUAGGGGGAUAAAAGCCCUGGGAACGUAGCUCCUCCGGGAGUGUUAUAGCCCUCUGCAUAAUACCCUUACGGGGACCGAGGACCGCGCUUAGC